ensembl:snRNA U6 U6 spliceosomal RNA
GUGCUAGGUUCAGCAGCACAUGUACUAAAGCUGGACCAAUACAGAGAAGAUUAACAUGGCCCCUGGGUUAGGAUGACACUCAAAUUCAUGAAGUGUACCAUAUUUUU